GCAUUGCUGGUUCAGUGGUAGAAUUUUUUGCCUUUUGUUCAGGAGACCCAGGUUCGAUUCCUGGCCAAUGUA
rnacentral:tRNA from 1 species